GGAAGAUGGGGACAAAAUGCCACUAGUACUGGCAGCAAAAAACACUGCCUUCUUCCUCUUGACUCUCAAAUGUACGAAGUGCAGGUUUGCUGAAAGUGAUGGAGCUGCAAGACUCAGACCCAACCCACUCUGGAGUCCACACACUUGCACAUUUAGACCCAACACAUGCACCAACAGUGCAAGUCUUCCCUUCCUGCCCUGCCCUUUAAAUAAUAGCACAAUGGGCCAAGGGUACUGAGUUUGAUGUGACGCAGGGAGCAGGGAAGGUCAGGGUCUGCUGCAGGAGUCUACAAGGAUGUCCCAAGGCUUGGGGUCAUCCUUUCUAGUUGCUGGAGACUAUUAGGCUAUAGCCUUAUUGGGCAAUAAGCACUAGCAGUCAAAUACGGUUAAUUGGGACCUCACAGCCUAAAGUCGCCAGUCUCUCACACCUGUGUCUUUGUGUGGGACUUCAACACCCUCAAACAUAUAUCCAUUACUUGGGUUAAAAAAAAAAAAGGUGAGGAGAAGGGCUUUUUGCUGUGUGAAUUCAGUCCUAAGACACAUGCAGUCUAACACUUCAUCUUGACUGCCUAGGUCAUCUAACAUGGAUUAGGGCAGUCUUCGUUCUGGCACUGAAGACAAUCUUUCUGUCCCUGGGGCCUUGUUGACACUUGGAAAUCUGUCAGAAUCGCUAUUCUGGUAAGAGAACAAAGCUAAAUAGCAGAAAGGUAUUCUUAGGCCACAAUGAGACAGAAAUAACUAUUCCAAUAAAUUAUUUUUCUUCCCCAGACAACGUGGCAAAUUUCAAAGCACUGGCAAACCCUGUUCCUUUUUACUAAAUGAGGAUAAUAUUUAUUCUCUCUGGUUGCUUAAUUGUCUUGUCUGUAGAGGCUACAAGAUCAUAUCUUUUGAGGGGGCUCUGACUUCAUUUUCAGUAUCUCUGUGAAAUAAAACACAUAAUCUAUAAUGCAAAUAAUACACAAAUAUACAUAUCCACCCAAUACCCCAGCAUAAGACUGUUUAACCCAUUUAGUCCACAACCCAACUUCUCCCCAGUUCCCCAACUUUGUCCCAAAAUCUCUGAAAUCAGCAAGUUUGGUGGGUCUCUGAGAUGGGCAGAAAUCAGGGGCAUUCAGCAGGCAGCUGCACAAGGCCAGAUGUUGUAGGUCUGGCCCUGUCCCAUGCUGCUGCUAAAACCGGCAUCACUGACUGCAGUAGGAACCAGGUGCACAGAAUUGCUGUUGUAUUGUGCUAUCAUAUGCUGAAGCAAUUCUUCAUCAAGAUUUAGAAAUAACCACAGUCUUGCAUCAUCUCAACGGACAAAAUCACUGGGAAGUCUCUUAACAAAGGCAGAACAGUGGCAAAUGCCCCCUUUUUUUGGUCUCACUUUCAUAAAAUUCCAGUAGUACCUGCAUCUAUCAGGAAAUUUCCCUGCAGAAAAUAAACCUUUCAUACAUCCAGGCUACAGAUAAGAAACCUAAAGAGGAGCAGUGUGUCCUUCAGCUGCACCACUGUCAGAGCUAAAGUACUUUCUCCCAUUAUUUCUUUUCCCUGGCUAUGAGACCUCCCUGACUUCCAAACACACAACUAUUCUUUGUCUAGUAGUGAACCGUGACACCUCACCUUGAUCUGCACAUAGGAUCAAAACCAGCACAGCAAGGAGGGCGGCCUUCAUCUUCUCUCAGUCGUCUCUGCAGCCCAGGAAAAGCACCCUCACCUGGGGACAGGAUAUAUAUCUUCCCCGCGUUUGGACUGAGUGAUGAUGAAGCCAACAAUUUGGAAAGAGUGGGCAGGGAUCAUGUAUUAUUUGAGAGGGCAGGAAUGCAUGUGGGUUGUUUUCUCACCUCACCAUUGCCUUCAGGCUGGUCUGAUGGGUCUGGAGGGGAGUGAAAGCACUAAGGCAAUUCAUUCCAUUUAUUGCUUUUAAUACUUUAAUUUAUCUAUGGUCAGGCUAGGAGUGCUGCUGAUGUCUGAGCCGGGGGUUUGUACUGUUUAUAAGUUCCAAUUUGAUCAUCACAUCUGUGGCCACAUAGUUCAGUGAAGGCAGUUACUCAAAGAAAAAAUGAUAAUAAAUGGCAUAAAUUAAUGGCUUCAUCUGGGUUUACUGCCAAGUGCCUUCCCAGGUUAGAAGUGGAGAACCCCCAGUAUCUGGAGUCAGGGCAGAUCUAGCUGUAUACUCAUGGGUGGCAAUAUAAACAGGAAAUGUCUUACAAUUUCCUGUUUGCCUAUAAAAGCUGCUGGUUACUGACAGAGUCCUAAAUGUUCUGCAUCCUGAUUUGGAGAGCAGCUGCUGCAAGAGAGCAAUGGCUUUGUGGUUCAAAUGGAGAAGCCAGAGCACUGGAGGACACAAAGCAUCUGACUGAGAGUCCUGCUAGAUACCACUCAGAUGUGAUGUCCUCAGCCUUUGUGAUUUCUCUGCAUGCUUACAAUUUGGGUGGAGCUGGAGCUGAUAUUUUCAGCCCUUCUGGGGCCUCCAUUUGACUGCCUGUCCCAUUUCUGCUUCCAAGGAAAGAGUUACAUGGAAGUUUGAUGCUGCAUAUCGGCCAGCAUCUCCAUGAGUCACCUCUUAGCAAGCCAUCAAAGAGCAGAGAGGAUGAAGCAGGAGCAGCACCUUUGAAUGAAGCCACCUGGGCCAUCAGCUGUCUGUUCACCUCUUCCUUCUCCACCCUGCAAGGCUUGGUCUGCACAAAAGAGAACAGAGACCCAGUUGUAGCUACACAGCCUGGGGUUUAGAAGAUGGAGAUACAGAAGGAGAAGAGGCAGAGGCUCAGAAAACAUGUGGAAGAAAGAGAUUAGGUGGCCAGAGGGAGGGCUAAAAUGAUGGGGCCACCGUUAGUUUCUGGGCAGGAGAUCAGUCAGAUGAGCAAGAGUCCCUGAAGCAGUGGUCAUGCUCAUCAGAGACAUUUAGAGCAUCUGAUGGGACUAAUUAGUGCUCAUCACAGUGAAGGCAAUGGCCAGAGGAAGUUCAAUGUGACACAAAAAUGCAUAGCAUCUUCUUUAAAAAAAAAAGAAAAAGAUGGGGAAUUAUUGGGGUAAGCUUUUUUUGGUUGAUUUAGAGAUAUUUUUGAGGUUUCUGACACUGGUGUUAAACCACUGGUCUGCCAAUACAGCUGCCGUAAAGCAGGAUCAACAGGAUGGUGAAGUCAGCCCUGAUAACCCCAUGAGCCCUAACCGUUCCUCUGCGAUGGACGUACACCUUCUGGGUGUGGAGAGGACAAGCCACAUUGCUUGCCCAACAGAUGAAAAUCUACCAGACUCAGGGACUGCAUGCCACUGUGGAUGCCAGAGAAGGUGUGUCAGUCCUCCCAGAUGUCACGAGGUAGCAACCAAAGAGCUAGACCUAUUCCAGGGAAUAAGGAUUGCCCAGCGUGAUUCACUGCGUGGUGUCCUCUCGCAGGGAUGACUCUUCAGGGGAGUCUGGAAGUGAGCCUGGGAAGCCAAGGCUCAGUGUCCCAUAGUGGCGGGAGCACCCUGGCAAAGGUCCGCACUGAUAAAGUAGUUUACUUUAACCAGAUUUAGUUUUUUGAGGGAGGGGAAAAUAGUUGUGUUACUCUUCAGCGUGACAAACACGGUGUGUUCUUGAUUAUUAUUUUUUUUAAAAAAACAAAGAAAUGUGUCUGACUCAGUUUAUUCCUCCACUUCCAAGAACGGAUGGCAUGAACAUCUCCCCUCUGACACAGAACUCGAGAAGUGUCACCUGGUCCAGGGGUUCAAAUCUGUUCCUUACUAACAGCAGGAAGAUGAUCUGCAAGGCCACAGGAAGUGGUCCACCACACGUCUGCUGGCAGGAGUGGUUUGGACAAGCGUGAUGAUGGACAAAGGUGCGCGAUGGGCUGUUUGGCAUUUUGAGAAUUGUCAGCGGCCCAUUGAGCCAGAUAGCUGGGACAUUACCUUUCUAGCCUCAGGUAUGUCUGAUGUAUAUGUGUGAUGUGUGGGACUGCCACAGUUGGCAUUUUUGCAGAGGCGCAUGGGAUACUGAGGAUGGUGCUGUCACUCUGGGUGGCCAACACAUGGAAGUAGUAUGACUGCAGCAUGGAAGGUAGUGCUUGGCUAGGUCAGGGCAGAAAGCUGGAAAAAAAAAAAAAAGGUGUCCCAGUAUCCAGCAGCACAUAGCAGAAAUGAGGUUACAGCUAUAACAGUAAAUUAAACAUGUCCAGGACCAUCUCCAGCAUGGAGACCAAGAGGUGCACAUCAACAAGGCCUCUUGCAAAUAGUCCUUCCUUUGUGCUUCUCCUCGGUUUUUUUCCAGACAUUGCAUGCAACAGUGGUGCUUGGUCCAUCUUAAAAACUUGCCAGGGAACACACAAACAAUUAAAAUGAUUAAUUAAAUGUUGUGGAUGAUUGCAUGCCAGACCACAGAUGUUCCCAGGAACUGUUUAUUCCCCUAGCUUGGGUUCAGCCUUGGAGAUCAGACCCUUGCAGGCAUGUGAAUCACAUCCUUCAGGAUGAGACCUUGGUCCCUGAUUUACUCUUGGCUGUGCCACAUCACUAUGCAACUGUGUUGGAGUUGGCUAGUAAACACAGCUUUAUUUGGCUGCCCUCCGAAAUGUUCUGGCCAUUGGGUCUUCCUGGCUGUAGAACAGAGAUCAGCAGUCAACAAAUGAAGUCAGCCAGGGAUCUGCUCAUCUUCUGGGAGCCUCAUACCAGGGUCUUCUCACAAAAGGCCUUGGGACAAGUGCCCACACAUGGAACCACAGUAACAAGGAGGAACAGAUACACCAUGGCGUGGUCUCAUGGGAUCUCUUCUUUUUAUUUGCCCUGAAGAUUUUAACUAUUCACCUUCCCUGUGGUCAGAGAAAGAAGUCUGCCUCAUCACUUCUUAGGUGGCAUCUCACAAGGGUUCCAGAUAUUUCCAUCUAUCCCAGCAUCAUCUUAAUCUGUAUGUACUGCCAUUUCCCACUCAGUGGCUAGUGCACCAGGGGCUGCAGGACAGAAUUGUUUCUCAGCACAUGGUAUUAUUGCACCACCAGGGAUUUUGCAGCCCUGAAUAAAAUCCAUUGAAGCAAUUGCAGAAUCUAA